CUUGAACUCUGGCGGCAGGCCUAACACAUGCACGUCGCGCGAGCGGCGGACGGGGGAGUAAUGUAUGGGGACUGCCCGAUGGAGGGGGAUCACUACUGGAAACGGUGGCUACUACCGCAUACUAUCGGAUAACCCAUAUGGGAUUAGCUAGUAGGUGGGGUAAAGGCUCACCUAGGCGACGAUCUCUAGCUGGUCUGAGAUGAUGAUACGCCACACUGGGACUGAGACACGGCCCAGAUCCCUACGGAGGCAGCAGUGGGGAAUAUUUCACAAUGGUCACAAGCCUGAUCCAGCCAUGCCGCGUGUAUGAAGAAGGCCUUAGGUUUGUAAAGUACUUUCAGCGGGGAGGCGUUACCCGCAGAAGAAGCACCGGCUAACUCCGUGCCAGCAGCCGCGGUAAUUC
rnacentral:rRNA from 1 species